rnacentral:rRNA from 1 species
UGAGGAAUAUUGGUCAAUGGACGAGAGUCUGAACCAGCCAAGUAGCGUGCAGGAUGACGGCCCUCCGGGUUGUAAACUGCUUUUAGUUGGGAAUAAAGUGCGGUACGCGUACCGUUUUGUAUGUACCAUCAGAAAAAGGACCGGCUAAUUCCGUGCCAGCAGCCGCGGUAAUACGGAAGGUCCGGGCGUUAUCCGGAUUUAUUGGGUUUAAAGGGAGCGCAGGCGGGCUUUUAAGUCAGUUGUGAAAUACGGCGGCUCAACCGUCGGACUGCAGUUGAAACUGGAAGUCUUGAGUUCACACAGGGAUGCCGGAAUUCAUGGUGUAGCGGUGAAAUGCUCAGAUAUCAUGAAGAACUCCGAUCGCGAAGGCAGGCAUCCGGGGUGUUACUGACGCUGAGGCUCGAAAGUGCGGGUAUCAAACAGG